UGCCAGCCGCCGCGGUAAUACGGAGGGAGCGAGCGUUAAUCGGAAUUACUGGGCGUAAAGCGCGCGUAGGCGGCUUUGUAAGUCGGAUGUGAAAGCCCAGGGCUCAACCCUGGAAUUGCAUUCGAUACUGCAUGGCUAGAGUAUGGUAGAGGGAAGUGGAAUUUCCGGUGUAGCGGUGAAAUGCGUAGAGAUGUGGAGGAAUACCAGUGGCGAAGGCGGCCCCCUGGAUCGAUACUGACGCUGAGGUGCGAAAGCGUGGGGAGCAAACAGGAUUAGAUA
rnacentral:rRNA from 1 species